GCCACUGUAGCUCAGUCGGUGGAGCACGAGUUUUGUAAACUUGAGGCCGGGGGUUCAAAUCCCUCCAGUGGCU
rnacentral:tRNA from 1 species